rnacentral:rRNA from 1 species
AGCGAACGCUGGCGGCAGGCCUAACACAUGCAAGUCGAACGAACUCUUCGGAGUUAGUGGCGGACGGGUGAGUAACACGUGGGAACGUGCCUUUUGGUUCGGAAUAACUCAGGGAAACUUGUGCUAAUACCGAAUGUGCCCUUUGGGGGAAAGAUUUAUCGCCAUUAGAGCGGCCCGCGUCUGAUUAGCUAGUUGGUGAGGUAACGGCUCACCAAGGCGACGAUCAGUAGCUGGUCUGAGAGGAUGACCAGCCACACUGGGACUGAGACACGGCCCAGACUCCUACGGGAGGCAGCAGUGGGGAAUCUUGCGCAAUGGGCGAAAGCCUGACGCAGCCAUGCCGCGUGAAUGAUGAAGGUCUUAGGAUUGUAAAAUUCUUUCACCGGGGACGAUAAUGACGGUACCCGGAGAAGAAGCCCCGGCUAACUUCGUG